CCCGGCAUCCCAGCCCCACCAGCACCCGGGAGUGGAGCAAUGCGGGCAGAUGGGGGCCAAGUGCAGUCUCUGGAGACAAGAUGGGAGUUGCUGUCCUUUCCUGCCUGCCCUCAGGAGAGAUCGCUCCCCACUUCUCAGAGUCCUCCUCAAUCUGGGAUGAGAAGAAAGAGCACUGACUACACUGAGCAUUCCUGCACCAUGCUGGCUGGAUCCUGGACCUCCCUCUGUCUUCUUCCCCUCAUCUGGCAAAUGGGUACAAUGUCCCCUUUAAGCACUCUGAGGCAUUUCUCUGAGGGUGAAGUGAGACGGUGCGUUUUAAAAAUUCAUACCCACUUCAUUCCACAGUGCAUUUGGGGCAGCUUCUAAA
rnacentral:lncRNA from 1 species